CCCUAUGGGGCGCAAUACCGUCCAAAUUGCGGAGGUUCGGCUUUCGUGCUACCUUGGGUUUGGGUAAGCCGUAAUCCGCUUGCGCCUCGGACGUUGAAACGGGGGCUUUUCUCGGAGUGCCAUCGUAGAGUGGAAAUGGAAAGAACACCCUAUCCGCUGAACGGGCUGGUCGCGGCGUUCAUGGAAAGUGCCGCGCCGGCGUUGGCGCACCUGGCGGCGUGGGGGUGGCGGAAAAAGCAGGCUUGUUUCGACGUGGAUUUUUUGCGCGGGACCGGACCGGACAUCGGCAAGAUUGCCAAUGAGCCCGGCGCCUGGAAUGCGCUUGGCUUUCUCCAGGCGCGGUUUAUUGAUCAAUUGAAAACGGUUGGAAUGGGGCCCGAUGAUCUGCUGGCCGCGCGCGGCCAUUUCUGGGUGGUCUGGCCAGGAAUUGGCGGGAGGGC
rnacentral:rRNA from 1 species